rnacentral:rRNA from 1 species
GGGAAUUUUGGGCAAUGGGCGCAAGCCUGACCCAGCGACGCCGCGUGGAGGACGAAGCCCUUCGGGGUGUAAACUCCUUUAAGCAGGGACGAACGCAGACGGUACCUGCAGAAUAAGCCCCGGCUAACUACGUGCCAGCAGCCGCGGUAAUACGUAGGGGGCGAGCGUUGCCCGAAUUUACUGGGCGUAAAGCGCACGUAGGCGGCUCCGUAAGUCUGGUGUGAAAUCUCACGGCUCAACCGAGAGGCUGCACCAGAUACUGCGGAGCUCGAGGACGGGAGAGGAGAUUGGAAUUCCCGGUGUAGCGGUGAAAUGCAUUGAUAUCGGGAGGAACACCAGUGGCGAAGGCGGAUCUCUGGCCCGUUGCUGACGCUGAGGUGCGAAAGCUGGGGGAGCGAAAGGGAUUAGAUACCCCUGUAGUC